GGAAGGUGUUUACGGAUGAAUGGUAAUGUUACUGUUGCUAGUUGUGCUUGGUUGAAGCAAAUAGAAAUGAGCCUUUAGGUCAGAUAAAGGAGCGUUCUGGUGAAACCGUGGCCUCGUUUUGGUUUCCACUAGGCCAGAGAAUGUACUGGUGGAGGGUUAUUGGGCCCAUACAUAAAUCAAAAUCACAAUCCUGACUUUGCUAGCAGGACCGUAACCAGGGUUUGAGUUUUAGUGAGGUCCGGAUGGGGGUGACCCACCCACCCACCUUUCCCUCCUUUCAGGAAUUUUUUUGAAAGUUGAAGCUUCUUUACUGCAUUUCUAUACAAUUUAAAGACAUUUUUAAAAAUGCUAUUUGGAGAACAGCAACAACAAGCCAAAAUGACCCCAGCCAUUAUCACCUUGAUGCUAUAGCUUCAUUCACCUCAGUCCAUCUACAAGCAUGUAGCCUAUUAGCUAAACAAUUGUAAUAUUAUACCCCUGAAACGGGGGGGAAAUAUGAGAAAUGAUUCACACUGACACGUAGCAUCAGUGACUGUUCAGUCAGUUGUAAUGAUGAAUUGCAUAAAAAUCAUCAACUCUUUACAUUAAUACAGUAUCUAUUUUUCUUUUUAAAUACAUAGCAUUCACAUUUGUAUUCCUAGGCAUUACUAAUCAAGCUCCGGACAACCAGAUAUCAAUGAAGCACACAGAUGAUUUGUAUUAUCACAUUCAUUAUUAGAAAAUUACUUACCAUUUUGUAUAAUCAGUGGUAAAUAGUGGUAAAAGGUGGGUAAUGGGUAAACUAUAAACUUCAGUGGACGAACAACCACCGGUAGAAAGGAAAAUGUAUUGUUUGCAUGUUGAUAGCAUUUUAAUGUUGGCCUAUAGGGAAGAUAUUGAAACAUAUCAUAUUUUUUUAAGUUCAUAACUUGUUUGAAUACAUUAGUACAGAUUUUUCUCAGGGGACCCCACAUGGGGCCCCGACCCCAAGUUUGGCAACCACUGGACUAACCUCUCUCUGCUUGCUUCCUCUCUCUGUCUUUCUUCUCUGCUUCCUCCUGCAUGCAUCAAGAAAAAAUGUUGUGUGCCCGAAUAACUGAAAAACCCCUUACCGAAGUCCAAAAUUAACUAAAACGUCACAAAAUGGCAUCAUAAUAUAUGCACAAACUCUUCCGAACUGUUUUGGUUGGGAAGUAUGCGGACGCCUCCAGCCGCUUUAGAGAGUGGGGAAUGUCCUGCAAAUCCGGCACACAAAUCCAAGGGACGCAGGUGAUCAUAACGAUCAAGACACUGUCCAUGUUUCCACUCGUUCACAGAGACGCAGGUGAUCAUAACGAACAAGACACUGUUCACAGAGACGCAGGUGAUCAUAACGAACAAGACACUGUUCACAGAGACGCAGGUGAUCAUAACGAACAAGACACUGUUCACAGAGAGGCAGGUGAUCAUAACGAACAAGACACUGUUCACAGAGAGGCAGGUGAUCAUAACGAACAAGACACUGUUCACAGAGAGGCAGGUGAUCAUAACGAACAAGACACUGUUCACAGAGACGCAGGUGAUCAUAACGAACAAGACACUGUCCAUGUUUCCACUCGUUCACAGAGACGCAGGUGAUCAUAACGAACAAGACACUGUUCACAGAGAUGCAGGUGAUCAUAACGAACAAGACACUGUUCACAGAGACGCAGGUGAUCAUAACGAACAAGACACUGUUCACAGAGACGCAGGUGAUCAUAACGAACAAGACACUGUUCACAGAGAGGCAGGUGAUCAUAA